CUCUGUUCUAGUUCUAAGCAUGCAAAUAAAUUUUAAGCAGGAUUUCUUAGCCUGCAGGAGCUGAGGAUGAUUAAUAAGUCCUGCUGUUAUGCAUAAAUGCACUGACCUAUACUGUGCCCUUCAGUCAAAUUGUAUAUUGUUUAAUCGUGAUAAAUGAAGUGCACCAGGCACAGAUAAGCUAGUCCCUGGAGUAUGUCCAGAUACACCUGAAAGAAGAAUGACUCAAGCUGGGUGUGUAAAGCUACACUUUGGAGGAUAGAGCUUCCCACAGGUGCAAUGGAACUCUCACUUCUCACUUGCUCAGAAAUUAUGAUCUGCAGUGUGAGUCUCCCCUGGUAAGGAAACGUGUCCAGCUCCUUGAAACAUGUUCUAGAGAACAGCAUUCAUUACCCUCCCAUGAACUUAAACAUGCUUCUUGGCUCCUGUGCAUUUUAGGUGUUGAAAUUUCCAGGAUGCAAAACGAAGGGGCAAUUCAAAACAUUCAUCUCCACUUCUCAAAAGUCUUUGAUUACUUGAGAAAAGUGAGUGAGGUGGGGCCAAGAUGGUUGACUAGAAGCAGCUAGUGUGUGCCACUCUCACAAAUAGCAGAAAGAGUGGUGAGACACUAGCUCUUCAACCGGAACAUCCAGGUGGACACAUAAGGAUUCAUCAGUGACAUAGUGUGACCUUCGGAUCACGGAGAAGAGUGAGACAGAUCAACCAUUCACCCAGGAGUGGCACAGACCCAGGGGAAUCCCCCUACAAGAAAAUGGUGAGUGAGUGAGAGUCCCGUGGGAUGCAUAUUUCUGCCACGAACCUUUGAAUCCCUGGGCUCAGGAGAUACCCCAGCUGGGGUCUCCAGACCAAAACAGAGAGCCAUGUGGAGUCUGGGUAGAGCUGCUUCUUAGGUAGGUGUGGAGUCCCAGUAGCAUUUGUUCCCUGGGUACCCCAAAACCAGGGGCUGCAGCUCCAGCAAUUGGGAAGGCCAAGUUUUCUUGCACGCUCCCCAGAAAAGGGGCCAAGUCCAUGGGGCUGAGCAGUGAUAGACUGCAGACCUCACCACCACUGAACCUUGUAGGAUAAGGCCCACUAGCCUGGGAUGCUAGUGAGGCCACCCUAGUCCUCCUGAGUUCUCCAGCUGGGAGCAGCUCUACACUUCUCCGGCAUGCAGCUUCCAAAGAGAGAGGCAGUCCACCUUUUUGCUGUCUCGCAACCCUCCCUCCUGCUGCUCUCAGGCUUGGGAGGGUGCACAGCAAUUAGGGACUAUCACAGAACCCCAGCACAGUGCAUCUGGUGAACUUAAAAAAAUCAACAAGUGAAAAACAAACAAUCCCAUUUAAACGUACACAAAGUACAUGAACGGACACUUUCAAAGGAGGGCAUACAUGUGGCCAGAAAGCAUAUGACAAAAUGCUCAACAUCACUAAUCAUUAGAGAAAUGCAAAUCAAAACCACAAUGAGAUACCAUCUCACACCAAUGAGAAUGGCUAUUAUUAAAAACUCAAAAAAUAAGAGAUGCUAGUGAGGUUGUGGAGAAAAGGGAAUGAUUAUACAGUGAUGGUGGGAAUGUAAGGUAGUUCAGCCAUUGUGGAAAGCAGUGUGGCCAUUUCUCAAAGAACUCAAAGCAGAAGUGCCAUUCAACUCAUCAAUCCUACUGUUGAGUAUAUACCAAAAGAAAUACAAAUCAUUCUACCAUAAAGACACAUGCACGUGUAUGUUCAUUGCAGCACUUUUCACAAUAGCAAAGACAUGGAAUCAACCUAAAUGCCCAUCAGUGGUAGACUGGAUGAAGAAAUGUGGUAGAUAUACAACAUGGAAUACUAUGCAGCCAUAAAAAGAAUGAGAUCAUCUCUUUUCCAGCAACAUGAGUGGAGCUGGAGGCCAUUAUCCUAGAAAACCCAAUACCAUAUGUUCUCACUUAUAAGGGGAGCUAAACAUUGAGUACAUAUGGACACAAAUGGAACAACAGACACUGGGCCUACUUUAGAGUGGAGGGAGGAAGGAGGAUGAAAAUUUAAAAAUUACCUACUGGGUACUAUGCUUAUUAUCUGGGUUAUGAAAUAAUCUAUACACCAAACCCCGUGACACACAAUUUACCUAUAUAAAUGCGUAAGUAACCCACAUGUGUACCCCUGAACCUAAAAUAAAAGUUAAAAAAAGAGAAAAGUAAAUGUUCUCAGUAUUAAAAAGCUAUGUUUUUGUUGACAAUUAUGUAAAUUUCUACAUUUAUUUUUUGAAAUCUUUUAAUUUUCAUUUUGGUUACCUGUUAUCGUACUCUGAUAAAGUGUUUUAAACUGUUUGAUGUUUUUGACAAACUUCCCAAAAUAAUAUUUUAAAUUAACUCUUUUUGCCCUCAAGUUAAUUUUGAUAUUUCUCAUUUGGACCCCUGGAAAGAUCAAAGAAUGUGUAUCUCACAUUGUAAAGAGAUAUAUUAAACUAAUGAGACUUACUUGAUAUAUUAAAUUAUAUAGGGAGUAUUGUCAAAUACUAAGUGGUGCUAAACCUUCUUUAAGUUGUAUUUCAGAAUGUUAUUGAUAUGUG
rnacentral:lncRNA from 1 species